GCAGCGCAUUCAUGAUAAAAUGGCUAUCAUUACAAUUUGUAAAGUUAUAUACUUACAAAGUGUGAGUGAAUAAAAGGAACUGAACUGUGUCGAUUACCCCAACCACCAGUUUUUCAGUUUUUGGAAUUAUUUCUGAAUUGUCAAAUGAUCUGAACGUCUUUGAAGAUUAUCAUUGGGAGAAGUAAUCCAGGAAACGACAAUAGAACAGUUUUAGUUAAUCUAGAUGCGUUAUUAACGGUGAUAUUCAGUGUUAUUAUUUAAUCACGUGGCAUGCUAUAUAAUGAGUCUCUUUGAACUUCGUCUCGUUUAAGGAAGCCCAGUAUAUACACACAAGCCAUAUGAUUUAGUUUAGUGUUGUACAUUUUUAUCUCCAAUUUCGCCAGCGGCAAGCCAUCUACAAACUUAUCUGUGUAUAUAGUGUGAAAGGACUGGGGCUCACCACGGGAUGAAAUUCAUAGUAACUUAGGGCCUUUUAUUACUGACAACAAUAGCUAGCUAGUCAUUAUUUAUACAUACGAAAAACCAUUGUUACCAAUCAUAAAACAAUUCACUCAUCAAGUUUAUCUGAAGAUCAAAGUGUCAAUUUCAUAAAACUGCCACAAGUGCAAGACACUUGGAGAAAAUGGUGACCGUGAGACUGUCUGAAGCGUUACCGGACUUCGUAAUGGAUGCUGGCGUGAAGCGUCACUAUGUAAUACCCGAAUACCUCUCUAUGGAGAUCUAUUCUUUUCUCUUUGCAAAUAUAAAUCUGAUUUGUUUAUUUCCGAGUCAACUUGCAGUUUUUCCAUUGAAUGCGCAGCUAAUCAAAUACUACAUUAGACCUUGGUCCAUGAAAUAUCAAUUCAAGAGAAGAUAAUGAUAUCUAAUUAAGAAAGACUGUCAUUAGAUUGCUGCCAUGUAAAUGAAUACUUAACGUAAGAUAAAUUACAACUCGCAGGCUCGAGGAUCUAAAGACCAUAAUUAAAACUAAGGUAAUAAGCAGUAAAAUAUCCCUAGAAUAACAAGUACUUAAAGAGUGUUAAGUCAAAAAGAGAAGUAUUUUAACUCCUUAAGACUGAGAAAAGAUAAUGAUAUGAAAAUAAGUAAAACGAAAUGUCAAUUUAAAGUGCUUUUAGGCCAGUGGAUUAUACUUGUUAAGCGGUAUUCGGAGUUAAUCUCCAACAUGCACGUUUGGGGAAGCCCCCGGUAGACAGGUGGGUUUGAAGUAUUUAUAAAAUAAUGUCAUACAAUUGAACACAGCCUCCGUAAUAUUUUGGCACGAGAAUUCAAAACAUGCAGUUAUUGUACAAUUUGGUGAGAGUUCAUUCGCCAUGGUCCAAGGGCAGACAACUCCUACAUACAUAAUUUUCUUAACAUCAGGUAUAAUAGGCAGGUGAAAUUGCAAGUACGAAAAAUGUCUGCACAGAUAGUACACCCACUGACAAGUCACAAGUUAACUUUAUUUCCAUAAUUCAAUUUAGAUACUAAAAGAAAUUAUUUAGAUAAUAUCUUUAGGACUGCUUAUUAAAAGCGGUUGUAAAUCAUCGACUGCUGACCAGGGCAUAUACAAGUUUGUGAAGACAUAUAAAGUCUAGAUAAGAAGUAAGCCAAACAAACUGUACACAACAAAAAAAAUAUGUACAAUAGGAAACAUAUAACAAUGACACAGAGCUGGGAGACUAUUAACAAUAAAUGACAGUGACUUUAAGUACCCCGGAAAGUAAUCAAGAUACAGUAUUUGUACGUUUUUUGCUUAUGAUAAAAUUGUCAACAUAUGCGAAGCCCGUUCAACAAUUUGAGAAGUUGUUUACAACUGUGAAGCUAAGCAGCGAGGAUCGCUAUCGGUUGAUGUACAAACAUGUGGAGUGGGGCUGAGACAACUCCCCCAAAAUGACAUCGGGAGUUGGCCUUGUCUUGUUUGGAGGAUUUUGUGAUGUUGGAACAAUUUUUUGAUCCCAAUGGAGGACAAAAAUGAAUCGCCUGAACGUUUGCAAUUCCUGAUGCACUUCACCCACUUUAACCUAUGUGGUUCUUGUACAUAGCUCUGGGGAUAAUGGCUUAAACGAAAUUGAAUUUUUAUGAAUGAGGAUUAUUGUGUACUUGUUUGACAAUAUGUAUUCUUGAUGUUUAAGAUUUAGAUCCCUUUCAUACUGACGGACUUUAAAAACACAACAGUGGAUAACUUUCUGUUAUUUAUUAAUUCAAUAAAAAGUGUCUUCUAUGAUAAAA